CAGCUCCAAUAGCGUAUAUUAAAGUUGUUGCAGUUAAAAAGCUCGUAGUUGAACUUCAGACCUGGCUGGGCGGUCUGCCUAACGGUAUGUACUGUCCGGCUGGGUCUUACCUCUUGGUGAGCCGGCAUGCCCUUCACUGGGUGUGUCGGGGAACCAGGACUUUUACCUUGAGAAAAUUAGAGUGUUCAAAGCAGGCUUAUGCCCGAAUACAUUAGCAUGGAAUAAUAAAAUAGGACGUGCGGUUCUAUUUUGUUGGUUUCUAGAGUCGCCGUAAUGAUUAAUAGGGAUAGUUGGGGGCAUUAGUAUUCCGUUGCUAGAGGUGAAAUUUCUUGGAUUUACGGAAGACUAACUAUUGCGAAAGC
rnacentral:rRNA from 1 species